rnacentral:rRNA from 1 species
CCUAAUACAUGCAAGUCGAGCGGACAGAUGGGAGCUUGCUCCCUGAUGUUAGCGGCGGACGGGUGAGUAACACGUGGGUAACCUGCCUGUAAGACUGGGAUAACUCCGGGAAACCGGGGCUAAUACCGGAUGCUUGUUUGAACCGCAUGGUUCAAACAUAAAAGGUGGCUUCGGCUACCACUUACAGAUGGACCCGCGGCGCAUUAGCUAGUUGGUGAGGUAACGGCUCACCAAGGCAACGAUGCGUAGCCGACCUGAGAGGGUGAUCGGCCACACUGGGACUGAGACACGGCCCAGACUCCUACGGGAGGCAGCAGUAGGGAAUCUUCCGCAAUGGACGAAAGUCUGACGGAGCAACGCCGCGUGAGUGAUGAAGGUUUUCGGAUCGUAAAGCUCUGUUGUUAGGGAAGAACAAGUACCGUUCGAAUAGGGCGGUACCUUGACGGUACCUAACCAGAAAGCCACGGCUAACUACGUGCCAGCAGCCGCGGUAAUACGUAGGUGGCAAGCGUUGUCCGGAAUUAUUGGGCGUAAAGGGCUCGCAGGCGGUUUCUUAAGUCUGAUGUGAAAGCCCCCGGCUCAACCGGGAGGGUCAUUGGAAACUGGGGAACUUGAGUGCAGAAGAGGAGAGUGGAAUUCCACGUGUAGCGGUGAAAUGCGUAGAGAUGUGGAGGAACACCAGUGGCGAAGGCGACUCUCUGGUCUGUAACUGACGCUGAGGAGCGAAAGCGUGGGGAGCGAACAGGAUUAGAUACCCUGGUAGUCCACGCCGUAAACGAUGAGUGCUAAGUGUUAGGGGGUUUCCGCCCCUUAGUGCUGCAGCUAACGCAUUAAGCACUCCGCCUGGGGAGUACGGUCGCAAGACUGAAACUCAAAGGAAUUGACGGGGGCCCGCACAAGCGGUGGACAUGUGGUUUAAUUCGAAGCAACGCGAAGAACCUUACCAGGUCUUGACAUCCUCUGACAAUCCUAGAGAUAGGACGUCCCCUUCGGGGGCAGAGUGACAGGUGGUGCAUGGUUGUCGUCAGCUCGUGUCGUGAGAUGUUGGGUUAAGUCCCGCAACGAGCGCAACCCUUGAUCUUAGUUGCCAGCAUUCAGUUGGGCACUCUAAGGUGACUGCCGGUGACAAACCGGAGGAAGGUGG